GGUAGCACAUAUACUAAAAAAAAAAAUUAGAACAACACAGAGAAGAUUAACAUGGCCCUUGUGCCAGAAUGACACUCAAAUUUGUAAAAUGUUCCAUAUUUUA
ensembl:snRNA U6 U6 spliceosomal RNA